CCAAGUGCGAGGAGAGGAAGUGCACUGGAAACCUUAGUGAGGUUGCCAUGGUUGGAGGGCGGAACCUCAACAUCUGGGUCAGCAUCUUCACUACCACAGCUACAUGGGUGGGAGGAGGUUUCAUCCUAGGCAAUGCUGAGGUGGUCUACGACCCUAAAAGGGGCCUGGCUUGGGCCAUUGGACCAAUAGGCUUCUCCCUUAGCCUGGUUGCAGGAAACCUGUCCGAGAGAAGAAUUACGUCACCAUAAUGGAUCCGUUUCAGGAGAAGUAUGGGAACACGUUAACUGCAAUUCUCUUUGUCCCAUCACUCCUUGCUGACAUCUUCUGGAUAGCCUGUGUGCUCGCUGCAUUAGUGGCUCUGUGUGCCCUUCAUACUGAUAAGCCCCGCCUCAGCAGACAUUACAGUCACAGUGGGGACAAAACUGUACCAGGAGCCAUGGACCGGCAGGCUGAAGUUGGCAGAUGCAGUGCGCUGGCUGGAUGACCUGCUACUGGUGGUGGAAUCUGUUACCAGGCCUUCUACCGGAGAGUCCUGGCCACAGCCACUGUGGCUCAGUUCAUCUGCUAUGCUGCUUCUGUCUUCUGCUUCAUCCCACCAUACUACCUCUUCUCAUUGGUGCUGUGGCAGCAUCCACAGAUUAGAACCAGACCAGUUGUGGUCUACCUACUCCCUACGAGCAGGGCAAGGCGAAUAUGAUUCUGCCCAUCUCCCUGCACCACCUGUGCCAACCUCUUGUCGGAAUCUGCGCCAUUGCUGCUGCCGUGAUGUCAUCGAUUGACUCUGCCCUGCUGUCUUCUGCGUCCCUUUUUUCCCGAAACAUCUACAAAAACAUUUUCAGCAAAAGGUGGAGAUGUGAUGUACACGGUGGUGUGUGCCCAGUUGAUCUGCGUCCUCUUUCUGCCUGGGUAUGGUGCCUUGGCAGGCCUUGUGGUAGGGCUACUGCUGCAGCUCCUAGUGGGAGAGCCACUGCUCAGUAUGACAGGACUCAUGGCCCUUCCCUGGGACAGCCUACACGAGGACAGGCGUCUGCUGCAUGUCUUCCCGUUCCGCACCAGCAUCAUGUUGGUCUCUCUGGCCACCAUCCUGGUUGUGUCACGUUUUGCAGCCUGCCUUUUCCUUAAAGGACUACUGCCUGAUAACUGGGAUGUAUAUGGACUUGGUCAAAAAAGGAUGAUUUUGAUAAAGGAUAUAGUAGCUAAGGAUCUGACUGAGAAGAUUGGACUGAACACAAGGCAGAAUGACCCAUCUCCUCAUGCGAGCACAGAAGAUAUGAGCUCUUUACAAUGACCUGGGGUCCCAUCAUGUAGAUAGUUACAGACAACGGCCAAAGGCCAGGAACAGGCAGGACUCAAACACCACAGCACAGUUAAG